GCCUUCUUGGCUUAGUUGGUUAAAGCGUCGGUCUCAUAAUCCGAAGGUCGUGAGUUCGAUUCUCACAGAGGGCA
rnacentral:tRNA from 1 species